UACGAAGGGGGCUAGCGUUGCUCGGAAUCACUGGGCGUAAAGCGCACGUAGGCGGAUUGUUAAGUCAGGGGUGAAAUCCUGGAGCUCAACUCCAGAACUGCCUUUGAUACUGGCGAUCUUGAGUCCGGGAGAGGUGAGUGGAACUCCGAGUGUAGAGGUGAAAUUCGUAGAUAUUCGGAAGAACACCAGUGGCGAAGGCGGCUCACUGGCCCGGUACUGACGCUGAUGCGCGAAAGCGUGGGGAGCAAACGGG
rnacentral:rRNA from 1 species